rnacentral:rRNA from 1 species
AGUGAACGCUGGCGAUAGGCCUAACACAUGCAAGUCGAACGGCAGCACAGUAAGAGCUUGCUCUUACGGGUGGCGAGUGGCGGACGGGUGAGGAAUACAUCGGAAUCUACUUUUUCGUGGGGGAUAACGUAGGGAAACUUACGCUAAUACCGCAUACGACCUACGGGUGAAAGCAGGGGAUCUUCGGACCUUGCGCGAUUGAAUGAGCCGAUGUCGGAUUAGCUAGUUGGCGGGGUAAAGGCCCACCAAGGCGACGGUCCGUAGCUGGUCUGAGAGGAUGAUCAGCCACACUGGAACUGAGACACGGUCCAGACUCCUACGGGAGGCAGCAGUGGGGAAUAUUGGACAAUGGGCGCAAGCCUGAUCCAGCCAUACCGCGUGGGUGAAGAAGGCCUUCGGGUUGUAAAGCCCUUUUGUUGGGAAAGAAAAGCAGCAGGUUAAUACCCCGCUGUUCUGACGGUACCCAAAGAAUAAGCACCGGCUAACUUCGUG